rnacentral:rRNA from 1 species
UACGUAGGGGGCGAGCGUUGUCCGGAUUUAUUGGGCGUAAAGAGCUCGUAGGCGGUUUGGCAAGUCGGGUGUGAAAACUCCGGGCUCAACUCGGAGACGCCACUCGAUACUGCUAUGACUCGAGUCCGGUAGGGGAGUGCGGAAUUCCUGGUGUAGCGGUGAAAUGCGCAGAUAUCAAGAGGAACACCGAUGGCGAAGGCAGGUCUCUGGGCCAUUACUGACACUGAGAAGCGAAAGCAUGGGGAGCGAACAGG